rnacentral:lncRNA from 12 species
CGCCGCUGCGGGGUCGCGCUGCGCCCCAUCCGCCGCCGCCGGAGGGAUGGGAAGAUUCCGGGCGCGGAGGCCGAGAGCCGGGAAGGCGGAGCCGCUCUGCCGGGAGCUGGGUCCCGCCUGAGCCCCCUCCCCCCGCCGGCUUCGCCCCCCGGGGCGAGGAAGGAAGCUGCGGUCUCGAGAGGGCGGCGGAGGCGCCUGGAGCCGGGCGCGCUGGGCUCGGCGAGCGCGGAGCGGGCUUCCAGGCCCCGUGAAAGUUUCCCUUCCCGAGCCGCGGGGCGCCCGCCGCCCGGAAACUGCCCGGGGCGUGGGCUGCACGGCCCCGCGGCCCCCCGCGAGGCGGGGACUCCCGGGACAGACCGUGCGCGAGAAGUCGGGGAGCGGGCGGCAGCAGCAGCGACCAGCCGGCCGUGAUCCCGGGCGGCUCCGGGGUGCGCCCGCGGCUCCAGGUCCUUCCCGGAGCCGCUGCCAUGGGAGAGCCCGCCCUGGGCGUCGGGGACCAGCCGCCCAGGGAUUUCCCUGGGAGAAAAAAUUCUCGCGGUUCCUUUCUCAAAGUGCCGAGGGUCAUAUGGAGAGCCUGGGGUGAAAAGCAGAAGUGAGUAUGGCA